CCCAUCCGUGUAAGCAGGCUCACGCCUUCGUAAUUACCAAUUUUGAAAGUGCUCACGGUCAGUGGUGAUGCGGGACAACCUUGUGCUAACCCGUUCUGCCUGCGUCACUAGUACCUGAACCUCCUCUCCGGGAGGAAGCUGUUUUAUGAUGUCUGCACAUAACUGCCCAAGUUAAACCCUGAAAACACACACGGCUGCAGUGACUAGGAGCCAGGUACUCCUGGGAUUCUCAAGAAAUGUACCUUUCAAGUUCUGUCGUGAGUGAAAAUGGCAGAAGACAUCCACCUUUUCUUCACUGCUCCGGAUCUCUCAACUGACCUCCAAGGCAUAUUUUCCAGCUCAAUCUUUAUCAUCAUUGGCUUCAGACUGCAGUGGUUACUUGUGUAGUGUGUGAAGAGGUAAACCCCAUUCCUGCUGACAUUUCUUUCUGGGAUGAAGGUCUCUUUCUUUGGGAGGUAACUUGUGUAGAGAAGAAACAUGGAUCUAGAAUCAAAUCCCAAACCUAUGCCUCCAAAUUAUAGAUC